UGAGAUUAUUGCUUUGUAGGGUUACACAGAGUUUGAUGACUUCAGAAAAGUCUUUUUCUAAUAUUAUUGAGGAUGUUUAAUCUAUAAAGUAGAUAGAUCGAGAGGCCCAAAGGAAAGCAAUAAGAGACCUCAUUACCAGGGCAGUUACAGAGAGGGACACCGCGAUUCAUAGUUCAUAGGCUGAGGGUUUCGUAGUAGG
rnacentral:lncRNA from 1 species